rnacentral:rRNA from 1 species
CGGGUGAGUAAUGCCUAGGAAUCUGCCUGGUAGUGGGGGACAACGUUUCGAAAGGAACGCUAAUACCGCAUACGUCCUACGGGAGAAAGCAGGGGACCUUCGGGCCUUGCGCUAUCAGAUGAGCCUAGGUCGGAUUAGCUAGUUGGUGAGGUAAUGGCUCACCAAGGCGACGAUCCGUAACUGGUCUGAGAGGAUGAUCAGUCGCACUGGAACUGAGACACGGUCCAGACUCCUACGGGAGGCAGCAGAU